rnacentral:misc_RNA from 1 species
GGUGCAGGUGUAGUGUAAACAGCAAAGUCAGCAACAGUGAGCAGUGGGAGUGCGCGUGGGCGGUUAGUGCGCCAGUGCAUUGGUGUCAAGUGUGAGCUGUGACCUGGUCGAGCACCGGUGAUGGCGUGGCCCAGGUGCCCCGGCUAUUAUGGUUGAGAAUGUCCGCGGCCAGUGCGGGCGUGCGGCAGUGACCAGGGUGGCCAGCAGUCGAGUGGAGUUGCGUGCUUGCCGUGUGCUUGCCUGUCGAGGCGUACAUGUGGUGGGCGUGAAUCCUUGCGCCGCGCCCGCGCCUUGUCCCGCCCAUUAUGGACUCUGUGUCCCUGUGGUUGUGACUCUCACCGACGCAACCAAUGGACUGGGAACUGUUCAGCCAGACGAGGAAGCAAUCUUGAAAAUAGUGGAAGCGAACCGUAAGAAAGUUGCAGCGAAGAGAGCAGCAAAGGCAGCAAACCAGGAAGACAGAACUGUGCCAGAGUUGGUGGACGUCCCGUCAACCUCACCGCCGGCCACUGUUGUCGCCGCCCAACCUAAGUUAGAGAGCCAGCCCUCGGGGGUUGAUGUAGAAGGCAUCGUGGAGGCCGUGGAGCGGUGGGUUCGCGGGCCGGGAGAGGAGGAGCAGGUCGAGAGUGCCCAACAAAAGGAGGCUCGUCAGUACAAGGAGUUGGUGGGCACACUGGCCGAGCUGGCUGCAGAGAAGCGGGCAGGGCGCGUGGCCCCUGGCCCGGAGCCGCCCACAGGCACGCCACGUCACCAUGAGACAGUCCAACUGUUUUCUGAGCUUAUGCAGACCGACGAUGUCUCAACCAUAGCGGCUCACAUCGCUAACAAAGCUGAACUGAUUUAUCAAACUUGGAAAAGGACUGGACUUAACCCCACCGAGCUUAUUCAAUACCACACACCUCUACCCAGGGGAGAGCAGGCAUCCGACGGGGAAACCAGCCCCAGUGGGCCACCUUCUGCAACAGCCAAGCCUCGCACGCCCGUGAGGAACAUCAGCCCUGCCCCUCCCGGCUCCUCACCUGCUGUAUCUAGGAAGUUCAUUGAACCAGCGUUGCACAACGGGCGGCCACACGCCACUUCGCCAGUACGCACCCUCAACGCCUCUCCUCGUCCUUACAUCCCGCCGGGCACGUCACCACAUUCACCUAGCGCACAGCCACAGUCCCCCCCUGUCUUUCCCAGCAGCAACGGUGGCUCAUCUCCACAUCAAUCUCCACGCCUGCUGUACUCCUCCCCUGCCUCCCCCUCCCUCUCUCAGACGCAAGGCAACUCUCGGCCGUACGUGACAUCAGCCUCACCCCAGUCCCCUCGUGGUUCUCUCACUCAACCACCUCCGCCCCCUGAGCGGUCGUCCUCAUACCCAGGAGUUGACUCGACACAGCAGCAGCAGGAAGGUCCUUACGAUAUCUUUGUGGACUCUAAUCUUGAGACCUCCCUCCAGGAGCUAGUCAAGUCUUUUGUGUUAGAAGACAAGGCGCGUCAUCACGCCGCUGCCGUCGCCGCCCUGGCGUCACAACGCCCCAAAGGUGCAACUUCAUCCAUUCAGGAGGCACUGCAGAAGUUUGAGAGACAGAUGGUUAUCACCUCUCGCUCUGUAGCUCACUCACAGGAGCAGCCUGGUAGUCCUCCGCCCCCGUUAGGCACCAUGGGUCGCUUUGCCCAAAUGCAGAUGCAACAACAACAACAGCAACAGCAGCAGCUUAGCCCCAGCAUAGGAGGCAACAGCAUGAGUAUGAGCAGCAAUACCUCUAGCAGCAGUGUCACCAUCAGUACCAGUGGGCGGCGCUACGGUGGCACGCGGAGCGACUCUGCUAUGUCGACAGAGUGGUCACGAAUGCAGGCAGAACACGACAGCCGAAGUCGUCGGUCAGCUUCCCCGAACCCGCCGGUGUCUCAGCCUGGAUGGAACGAGACAAGUCCACCCAACACCUCCACUUGGCCCUUAAAAAACAAGCAGCCGAUGGUUGUGGAGAGAAAGUCUUCCAAGCACAGCGCCUCGGCCUCUGGCAUGUCGUCCUCGGCAUCGUCAUCCUCGUUCUCCUCCUCUAGCAGCAGCAUGAGCAGCAGCAACGUUUCCACGUCCACUAAUUACAUCACGACGCUAGAGGCGCGUGUGGAGAGCUCUGGCCAGAAGUCUCUGGGCGUGCCGCUGCGACACAAGGUUGUGGCGAUGUCUGCUGUGGACCAGGAGGAAGAGCGCCUCAUGCAUGCCCUCCGCACCGGCACUCUCAUCGACGACGGGGAACAUCUCCGGCCGCUCAGUCAGUCCAGGCCCAUCCCGACACCCUCCCUGGUCAGCCCCCCUCACACGUCACCCGUCAACAGUACCAUCAUCACCGGCUCUCCCCCCAGCUCUGACGCUGCCCCGCUCUCUCCUAACUCCAGGAAGGCCAAGUACUCCAUCAGCGUCACCGUGGACGUGGACAAACCCAUCGAGGUGAUCCAUCAGGGAACUCACCAGCAGCAUCACAUUCAAAACCCGCAUCAAAUUCAACACCAUAUUCAUCACCAACAACAACAACAACUACAGCAUCAGCUGCAGCAACAACUACAGUUACAGCAGCAACAGCAGCAGCAUCUGCAACAACAACAACAGCUUCAGCAUCACCAACAAAUCACAAAGUUGGGGAGCUCCAGGUCCAUCAAGCUUGGCAAAGAAACAGAAAUGUCGAUGGUGGACUCUGCGAAACUUCGCUACCAGGAGUCCUUGCAACACCCGCACUCCUUGCAGCGACUCGACGACCAUCGCAGCAUGUCGACGAAGCAGAUAGUGAAUGGGGACGGUCACGUCAUGAAGCAGAGAACUCGCUUUGAGAACGGUAACACCACCCUUCCUGACAGCAUCUCGCGCGGCGCCCUAGGUAUUCAGGCUGACGAAGUGGGCUCAACACUGCCGGAAUUCUACCGCCGGAAGCUGCGAAAGAUGAGGAAAGCUGGUUCCCCCGAACCGUCCGUUGUAGGCAGCAUCUCGGCGCUGCCUCACCCCGAAUUGACCGACCAGCAGAAGGCACACAUCAGAGAACGGUCCCAGUCCCCCACCGCCGGAUACAACAGUGCCGGGGUGGCCAUCAGGCCCUUCCUUACUCAGGGCAGCGUGGCUGAGAGGGUGCUAAUUUUUGAGCGAGCUCCAGCAGAGAUGAAGCCCAAACCUGGGGCCCCACCCACUGCCGCCCCCGCCCCUGAGAAGCGACGUCUCGCCCUUUCCACAUGGCGGGAGCCCAACGAGGUGCGCUCCAUGGCCCAGUUUUGGAACAUCCUGAGCUUUUUGGGAGAGAUAGACGAAUUCCCGGACGGCCUGCAAGCCAUCUCGUCACCCACCUCCCCGCCCUCGCCCGCCCGCCAGACAGAGCCGCCCGUCACAGCAGAACAGGAAACCAAGCCUCUGGUAAGCGAGAGUCGGCACUUCCGCCCGCCACCUGAUUCAACUUACGUACGAGAGGGCAGUGCAGCGCAGAAAGAGAAUGCUCGUCCUCUACCUUCCUCUGGAAGCACCUCACCUGUGUCCCCUCUAUCCCAAACCACUACCAUCUCCCCACUGGCUCCCACUAGCCCUACCCCAACUACUCCACCCCUCACCACAGCCCUCCAGCAGAAUGCCCAUCCUGCUUCCCCUGCCUCCCCAGUGGGUCCCCCUGGGUCUACAACCUCCCCCUUGCACCCUGCAAGGGUCCCCAACACCUUACGCCGUCACAACAAGUCCACCAAGAACCUCCUUAUACCCAGAUUCUACUACCCAAUGGGUCGGCCAUCCACCCCUGCGAAUCAGGAGCAGGCACUGUCCCGGGUGUCAGCAGUGUUCCGGGAGCAGAAUGGCCAGGUGAUGCGGGACAACAUGGACCCACUCAUGCGUGCCUGUGGCCUUCCACUUUACUGGAAGGCCCCGCUGUUUAUCGCCGCUGGCGGGGAUAAGCUUGGCUACCUCACACAGGAACAAUUUUCAGAUUACUGGAGCAGAGUAAUCUCAACCUGCCAUGACACGGCCUCCCGAUUCGUGCGUGUGCUGACCCGUGGUAUGCGGAACUACCUCCUGCCUGAAGACUUCCUCAGCAUGAUCCAGGACGUUGUGGACACACACCCAGGGCUCACCUUUCUCAAGGAGGCUACUGAGUUCCACUCCAGAUAUGUGCACACAGUCAUAGCAAGAAUAUAUUAUUGUGUAAAUAGAUCUUGGUCAGGGAGAAUAACACUACCAGAACUUAGAAGAUCCAACUUAUUACAGGUAAUUAGUAUCUUAGAGGAAGAAGAGGAUAUUAACCAAAUCACAGAUUACUUCAGUUAUGAACACUUUUAUGUCAUUUACUGCAAGUUUUGGGAGCUGGAUACUGACCAUGACUUGUUCAUAGACAAGCAUGAUCUGGCCAAGCACAAUGAGCGGGCUCUCUCUUGGCGCAUGAUUGAACGGAUAUUCAGUGGAGCAGUGACAAGGGGACGCCUUCAGAAGCAAGACCGCAUGGGCUACCAAGAAUUUGUGUGGUUCCUCAUUUCUGAAGAAGACAAACGCCACCCAACAGCCAUAGAAUAUUGGUUCAGGUGCAUGGACCUUGAUGGGGAUGGCUACCUGUCCAUGUAUGAACUAGAGUACUUCUAUGAAGAGCAGCUGCAACGCAUGGAGGCUUUGGGAAUAGAGACCCUACCUUUCCAUGAUUGCCUUUGUCAGAUGCUGGAUAUGGUUCGACCAGAGGAGAACGACAAGAUAUCACUCAGGGACUUGAAGAAAUGUCGAAUGACUCCUAUUUUCUUUGAUACUUUCUUCAACUUGGAGAAAUAUCUUGACCACGAACAGCGAGAUCCCUUCGCAUCCCAUAGGGCAGAGGAAGAUGGCUCUGAGGUAUCAGAUUGGAAUCGGUAUGCUGCUGAGGAAUAUGAGCUGCUGGUGGCUGAGGAGGGCGGUGCUGAACACCAGGAUGAUAUGUUCAUCUUGGAUGGAGACUUAGAUGAUGGUGGAGGAGGUAGUGGAGAAAGCUAAAGUGCACUGUGCACCUUGCAGGAUUGUGGAGGAGAGUCUUUGAAGCAAGUGUCCAUUACACAGGUUUUAUGGAGAAGAGGAUGAGUU